GCCGUCUUAGCUCAGUUGGUAGAGCGACGCACUCGUAACGCGUAGGCCAUCGGUUCAAUCCCGAUAGACGGCU
rnacentral:tRNA from 2 species